CUAGUAAAUCUCUUUCCCAUGAUAGAAAGUCGAGGAAAGUAUCUCGCCAAUGAACUCUUAAUUGGUUCCUGUCAGGAUAGUAGGUGUGGUUAUAUAUCUUUGUGCUGGAGAAAAUAGCUUUGAUUCUCCUAGGUUCUCAGUGGUGUGAUUGUUUGUUUUCAGGUAGACCGCGCAGUUUCAUGACGGAUAAAGAUGACCUACGUCAACACGGAGAGGCAGCAGGGAAUGGACACAAGCAAGCAGUAGCGCCUCUGGUGCAUACUCGGAUGCUCAACGUCAAGAUUAAUGAUUACGGCAGCUAUGAUCCUUCCCCUUCCAUGGACAAGCCGCACUUCAAGCUCAUACCCAACUGAUCAAUUAUGUAUCCAUGUUGCAGCACUGGAGCGUGACCGAUGAGGAAUUUGGCUCCUUAUUACAUGUGUACUAGCAAAUGCGUAGAUAUAGAGAGGGAAUUUCUAGACUUGCGCUAAAACUAUUAUAAUAGUAUUUAGGAUCUUGUCAUAUAGAUGUUUCUCGUGCUUUGUAAAGUAGUCACAAGAAGUUGUCGGUGCUUAUUCGGUUGAACUUGUCAUAUAGAAGUAUUGUACUUAAACCAUAUAUAUAUACAUAUAUAUACAUAUACCUAUUGUCUAUUCUA